rnacentral:piRNA from 1 species
UGCCUUGAUGGUCUCUCACUAAUCC